rnacentral:rRNA from 1 species
GAUGAACGCUGGCGGCGUGCCUAAUACAUGCAAGUCGAGCGAACGCACGAUAAGCUUUCUUCUCUGCUGUUAGCGGCGGACGGGUGAGUAACACGUGGAUAACCUACCUCUAAGACUUGGAUAACUUCGUGAAACCGGUGCUAAUACUGCCUAAUAUUUUCAACCGCUUGGUUCAAAAGUUCAAGACGGUUUUGCUGUUACUUAUAGAUGGAUCCGCGCUGCAUUAGCUAGUUGGUAAGGUAACGGCUUACCAAGGCGACGAUGCGUAGCCGACCUGAGAGGAUGAUCGGCCACACUGGAACUGAGACACGGUCCAGACUCCUACGGGAGGCAGCAGUAGGGAAUAUUGCACAAUGGGCGAAAGCCUGACGGAGCAACACCGCGUGGGUGAUGAAGGUCUUCGGGUCGUAAAGCUCUGUUGUUAGGGAAGAACAGAAGUGGAAGAAACUGUGCACGUCUUGACGGUACCUAAACAGAAAGCCACGGCUAACUUCGUG